AAAACUUCAUGUGAUCUACUACACGACCAGAACGAUGGUUGAUGCACAAGUAAGGUAUGCCACUACUGAGAAGGAAAUUGUGGCUGUGGUAUUCGCAUUCAAGAAAUUUAGGAGCUACCUGGUAGGUUCUAAGGUGACAAUCUACACUGAUCAUGCCGCUCUGAGGCAUAUUUAUGCGAAGAAGGAUACCAAGCCUAGGCUGUUGAGAUGGAUCUUAUUGCUCCACGAGGGUAGCUAACAAUCUAUCUAGAAUGAGAAUCGAAGACGAGGUCCCUAUUGACGACUCUAUGCUAGAAGAACAGCUAAUGGCAAUUAAGCAGCUGAACGAGAGCGCUCAAAUUCUAAAAUCACUCAAUCUGGCAUGUGCAAUAGGAGAUAAGCUUUCUUGGUAUGCUGAUCACGUCAACUACUUGGUGAGUGGUGAAGAGCCUCCAAAUCUGUCAAGCUAUGAGAAAAAAGUUCUUCAAAGACAUACACCAUUUCUACUAGGAUGAGCCUUAUCUCUACACACUUAGCAAAGAUAAGAUCUACACGCGAAGCGUAUCAUAAUGUCAAACUGAAGGCAUCCUGCCGCAUUGCCAUGGCUCUACCUAUGGUGGCAACUUCGCAACAUUUAAGACUGUAACGCCCGUGAACCGGAAAAUCGGUUAGGAUUUGUUUUUAAAUCGCUCAGUUUACUCGGUUGGGUUAAUAGAAACCCUAGAGUGUGCUUAUAAAAAAGGAAACUCAAAAUUAGGGCUUUAGUUAGCCACUUUCUGUUUUAUAAAGGAGAAAAAGAGAGAGAAGGAGAAAGAGCAGAAUCUUUAGGGUUUGGGAGGAAACAGUUUCAACUUAUCAAAUCGUUGUCAAAGGUAAAUAAAUUUGAUAGAGUUGUUCUCACGUCUUUUAUCGUCAUUCUCCAGUUUAUAGAAGUGGAUUUGGAUUUAAAUUUGUUUAGUUAUUUGCAGUUUCGUGAGACACGUUUUCUCAGACGCGAAUUAGGACCAGUGGGGAUUGCAACUGAGAUCGUGGUCUCAUCUGGUUUCCGAUCGGCACGAUAUUUUGUGGGCAGCUCUGUGACGUCUACGGGUAGCGUUUCACCGGAGGGAUUUAAUAGGGUUUCGUCUUUGAGGCUGUUGGUUUGUAUUUUAGGGUUUCGUCUUUGAGGCUGUUUGUUUCUGUUUUUCAUCUCGAGUUUGCUUCAAGAUUGCUUUUGGUUGUGACUUGUUGUAAGAUGUUUCUGGACUGUUUCAGACGCAAGGAGAGUCUCUUCUGGGUUUAAUUGAUGUUAGAAUCAAUUUGUU
rnacentral:sRNA from 1 species